rnacentral:rRNA from 1 species
AGAGUUUGAUCCUGGCUCAGAACUAACGCUGGCGGCGUGCCUAACACAUGCAAGUCGUACGAGAAAGUUGGCUUCGACUGAUGAGUAAAGUGGCGCACGGGUGAGUAACGCGUGGAUAAUCUGCCCUUUAGUUUGGAAUAACGUACCGAAAGGUGCGCUAAUACCGAAUAAUACUGAGUGACUACUGUCAUUUAGUCAAAGAAGGCCUCUGUUUACAAGCUUUUGCUGAAGGAUGAGUUCGCGUACCAUUAGCUAGUUGGUAGGGUAAUGGCCUACCAAGGCUACGAUGGUUAGCUGGUCUGAGAGGAUGAUCAGCCACACUGGAACUGAGACACGGUCCAGACUCCUACGGGAGGCAGCAGUGAGGAAUAUUGCGCAAUGGGCGAAAGCCUGAUGCAGCAACGCCGCGUGAGCGAUGAAGGCCUUCGGGUCGUAAAGCUCUUUUCUGGGAGAUGAGAAAGGACAGUAUCCCAGGAAUAAGUCUCGGCUAACUACGUGCCAGCAGCCGCGGUAACACGUAGGAGGCGAGCGUUAUCCGGAUUCACUGGGCGUAAAGCGCGUGCAGGCGGUUCGGUAAGUUAGGCGUGAAAUCUCCCGGCUCAACUGGGAGAGGUCGUCUAAUACUACCGAACUUGAGAGCGAUAGAGGAAAAUGGAAUUCCCGGGGUAGUGGUGAAAUGCGUAGAUAUCGGGAGGAACACCAGUGGCGAAAGCGAUUUUCUGGAUCGUUUCUGACGCUCAGACGCGAAAGCUAGGGUAGCAAACGGGAUUAGAUACCCUGGUAGUCC